UGCUGGGGGAGCGAAAGCUGAGAGCGUCCGAAGGACGUGACCCUUUGAACUUGAUGCGGGUAAUACCGACGUAGGGAAGCAGAUAAAC
rnacentral:ncRNA from 1 species